rnacentral:rRNA from 1 species
UAGGGAAUCUUCGGCAAUGGACGAAAGUCUGACCGAGCAACGCCGCGUGAGUGAAGAAGGUUUUCGGAUCGUAAAACUCUGUUGUUAGAGAAGAACGUUGCAUAGAGUGGAAAAUUAUGCAAGUGACGGUAUCUAACCAGAAAGGGACGGCUAACUACGUGCCAGCAGCCGCGGUAAUACGUAGGUCCCGAGCGUUGUCCGGAUUUAUUGGGCGUAAAGCGAGCGCAGGUGGUUUAAUAAGUCUGAUGUAAAAGGCAGUGGCUCAACCAUUGUGUGCAUUGGAAACUGUUAGACUUGAGUGCAGUAGAGGAGAGUGGAAUUCCAUGUGUAGCGGUGAAAUGCGUAGAUAUAUGGAGGAACACCGGUGGCGAAAGCGGCUCUCUGGACUGUAACUGACACUGAGGCUCGAAAGCGUGGGUAGCAAACA